GUGUCAGCCGCCGCGGUAAUACGUAGGGGGCAAGCGUUGUCCGGAAUUAUUGGGCGUAAAGGGUGCGUAGGCGGCCCUUUAAGUCAGAUGUGAAAGCCCACGGCUUAACCGUGGGACUGCAUUUGAAACUGGAGGGCUUGAGUGUCGGAGAGGGCAGUGGAAUUCCCAGUGUAGCGGUGGAAUGCGUAGAUAUUGGGAGGAACACCAGUGGCGAAGGCGACUGCCUGGACGAUAACUGACGCUGAGGCACGAAAGCUAGGGGAGCAAACAGGAUUAGAUACCCUGGUAGUCCUAGCCGUAAACGAUGGGUACUAGGUGUAGGAGGUUUCGAUACCUUCUGUGCCGCAGUUAACGCAAUAAGUACCCCGCCUGGGGAGUACGUGCGCAAGCAUGAAACUCAAAGAAAUUGACGG
rnacentral:rRNA from 1 species